GAUGAACGCUGGCGGCGUGCCUAAUACAUGCAAGUCGAGCGAACGGACGAGAAGCUUGCUUCUCUGAUGUUAGCGGCGGACGGGUGAGUAACACGUGGAUAACCUACCUAUAAGACUGGGAUAACUUCGGGAAACCGGGGCUAAUACCGGAUAAUAUUUUGAACCGCAUGGUUCAAAAGUGAAAGACGGUCUUGCUGUCACUUAUAGGUGGAUCCGCGCUGCAUUAGCUAGUUGGUAAGGUAACGGCUUACCAAGGCAACGAUGCAUAGCCGACCUGAGAGGGUGAUCGGCCACACUGGAACUGAGACACGGUCCAGACUCCUACGGGAGGCAGCAGUAGGGAAUCUUCCGCAAUGGGCGAAAGCCUGACGGAGCAACGCCGCGUGAGUGAUGAAGGUCUUCGGAUCGUAAAACUCUGUUAUUAGGGAAGAACAUAUGUGUAAGUAACUGUGCACAUCUUGACGGUACCUAAUCAGAAAGCCACGGCUAACUACGUG
rnacentral:rRNA from 1 species